rnacentral:lncRNA from 1 species
AUAUCUGCACAGAGCGAAGGUGCUGGAACAAGGCCUUCCUGCUUGUGAUUGAGAGAGACGCUGUCCAACUCCAGAUCCCCACACUGGCUCUGACACAUGCUGCAAAUAAGGCGGCUUCUGAGGGACUGUCCAUUUCUUAUUUUACCUCAUUUGGUUAAACCACACAAGCUCCGAGCUUGGAACUUCCGUUUUCUUAUCUCGAACAUCGCGUACUGUUCCAGCCCACAGCCAGCCACCCAGGAAGGAAGCAUUUUGUUCCUUUUGGACAGACAGCCUGGCUGGCCAUAUGGCCACGCGAUUGAAAGCUCUGUUCUGGGAACAGACAUUUGUGGUUGCCCCCAUUCUUGUGACCCAUCUUGGCUCCUUGUGAUUGACUUCAGCACUUGUUCAGCCCCAUUGGGGUACGCCAGACAGGACUCAGUGAAAAAAAUGUAUCAUGUUCUGUAUGUUUCUGCCAAGCAGGUCAAGUAGCCCAGAGCCCAGGGACAUGUGUGCAGUGGUGAGUACGCAGUACCCAGUACAGCCUGCCACACACCAGCUGUCUCAGUGCAGUUGGACAAUUUGAACACAAUCAAUAAUUUAAACCUUGAGACUCUUCUGUGUUUUCUAGUCCAGAUUCUGAAUGAUGAGGAAUCUGGUCCCAGCCAUUUUUCCCUUGAAACAGUUACUUCUUUACAGCAGAGUUAUGAAGAACUAAGGUGACCUCUGACGAUCAGAUCUGACCUCUUCUACCCUGAGAUGUCUCAAGAAUAAAUUGUCGCAUUGAGGAGAGCAGAUGGUGGAGGGGGCUGCAGGGAGAGAGUAGUCCUCUGGGUCUCACAGGCCUUGGAGCACACUGUGCCCCUCAACUGCUAGCCUCCAUCAUCAUUAGCAAUUCAACUGUUCUUAUUGGACUGAGAAAAGGGCACACCUCAUGCCGCUUACAGAUCUUGGCCUGGGAACUCCUAAAUACACCUGGAGUCCCAGGAACUUGGUACUGUGGGGUCCUGGAAGGCACCAUUGUGUCCAUUUUUCCCAAACACCAAGCAGCCUCUGACCCACAGAAGGGACUCCAGGACUGUCUGCUGAGAGCACAGGUGAAGAAUGAAUGAAUGAAUGAAUGAAUGAAUGAAUGAAAGGUAACCUCCUUCCCAAGUAGUUGUUUUGAAAAGAACUUGGAAUGAACUUUGGAGUCAUAGUAAUUUGAGUUCAAAUCCAGGUUUUGUCACUUAAUAGCUUUCAGUUUCUCAUGUACAAAUAUAAUAAAACCAACGGCAAAGACUCGCACUUGUGUGAAGUGCUCAGCAUAACACUCAUAAAUGCUUAAUAAAUUGUAAUUGCUCCUCUUCUGCUAUGAGUGUUUUA